AGUUAUUAAGCAGUUUGGAAAAGGACAUUUUUCCAUGUGGUGCCCACAAGGAGGAGGUGGGAGUCGAGCAUGUAGGUGUCAUAAGAAGUGGGCCAUGUAGCAAGGCAUUUUCCACAAGGAGGGUUCAUUGGUGAUGGCAAGUGUUCCAAGUGUCAUAAAGUUGGCCACACCUCGAAAGGCUGCACGAAUCUAUUCGUGAAUUGACGAAAAACGGAAAGCCGCGUGAACAAUAUAUUCCGGAAGCUGUGACAUGCGAUGUAAAGGAACUGUUUAAGUGGGAUCGUCUGUGGGGAACGCUUUAACAAUUUUGAUAAAGUCGUUCUCCAUCGAAUCCAGGUUACAGGAAAAGAUGUACCUCAAUACAUAACAUCACUCGAAGAAGCCGGCCUGCGCCCAUUACUUCAAAACAUUAAGAAUUCUGGCUGCAUAGAACCAACACCUGUACAGAAAGCUUCAGUUGCAGUUACUCUUUCCAAAAGAGAUUUGAUUGCUUUUGCUGUCAGGGGCUCCGGCA